GGUUUUACCAUGCUGGGCAGCUAAACCCCACAACCACUCGCAGGUGGUUUUCCCAGGGUGAGGCUCAUCUCCUGCACUCCGGGUGUGCUGACCCCUGCGAUUUCCCCAAAUGCGGGAAACUCGACUGCAUAAUUUGUGGUAGUGGGGGACUGCGUUUGCGCUCUCCCCUG